rnacentral:rRNA from 1 species
CAGUAGCCGCGGUAAUACGAAGGGUGCAAGCGUUACUCGGAAUUACUGGGCGUAAAGCGUGCGUAGGUGGUGGUUUAAGUCCGUUGUGAAAGCCCUGGGCUCAACCUGGGAAUUGCAGUGGAUACUGGGUCACUAGAGUGUGGUAGAGGAUAGUGGAAUUUCCGGUGUAGCAGUGAAAUGCGUAGAGAUCGGAAGGAACAUCUGUGGCGAAGGCGACUAUCUGGGCCAACACUAACACUGAGGCACGAAAGCGUGGGGAGCAAACAGGAUUAGAUACCCGUGUAGUCCCUGUCUCUUAUAC